rnacentral:tRNA from 1 species
GCCCUGGUGGUCUAGUGGUUAAGAUUUGGCACUCUCACUGCCACAGCCUGGAUUCGUUUCCCAGUCAGGGAA